AGGACGAACGCUGGCGGCGUGCUUAACACAUGCAAGUCGAGCGGAAAGGCCCUUCGGGGUACUCGAGCGGCGAACGGGUGAGUAACACGUGAGUAAUCUGCCCCUAGCUCUGGGAUAGCUCCGGGAAAACCGGGAUUAAUACUGGAUACGACCACCUUAGACAUCUUUUGUGGUGGAAAGAAUUUCGGCUAGGGAUGAGCUCGCGGCCUAUCAGCUUGUUGGUGGGGUAACGGCCUACCAAGGCGACGACGGGUAGCCGGCCUGAGAGGGCGACCGGCCACACUGGGACUGAGACACGGCCCAGACUCCUACGGGAGGCAGCAGUGGGGAAUAUUGCGCAAUGGGCGAAAGCCUGACGCAGCGACGCCGCGUGGGGGAUGAAGGCCGUUCGGGUUGUAACCCUUUCAGCAGGGACGAAGCGAAGUGACGGUACCUGCAGAAGAAGCGCCGGCUAACUACGUGCCAGCAGCCGC
rnacentral:rRNA from 1 species